AUGCCCCCUACAGCCUGCAUGUGCUAUGUAAAUGGAACAACCUACAGAUAUGGGGACAUAAUCUACAAUACCACAGAUUUACUAACAAACUGUAUAACAGCAAAAUGUGGAAUCAAUGGGACAGUGACAAGGAGUGUGUACCCUUGUCAUACAACUGCAACACCCGGUACUACAACCCCUUUUACAUUUAGCAAAGCAACAACACAAUCUAAAGAAACAACUACCAGAUUAGAGGAAACAACACCAUCAGGAGCAACAACGUCACAGGCUGAGACAACUAGGCCACAAAAACAAGUCACCACUGGCCCAGUGACAUCAGCUACCACAGCAGUUGUAAAAACCACAUCUUCAGUACCAGUUGCCACAACAACAAGCUCAGGAACAUUUGGAGUAACAUCAGGGCCUUCUGUCACCACGACAACCACUGGAAUAACAGCAACUACAGGGGAAACUAUCAAAUCAGAGGAAACAACACCUUCAAGACCAACAACGUCACAGGUUGAGACAACAAGGCCACAAGAAGAAGAAACCACCGGCCCAGUGACAUCAGCUACUACAGCAGUUAUUGAAAGAACGACAUCAGUACCAGGUGCCACAACAACAAGCCCAGAAACAUCUGGUGUAACGUCGAAACCUUCUGUCAGCACGACAACCACUGGAAUAACAGCAACUACAGGAGAAGCUACCAAAUCAGAGGAAACAACACCAUCAAGGUCAACAACGUCACAGGUUGAGACAACUAAGCCGCAAAAGGAAGCAACCACUGGCCCAGUGACAUCAGCUACCACAGCAGUUGUUAAAACCACAUCUUCAGUACCAGUUGCCACAACAACAAGCUCAGGAACAUUUGGAGUAACAUCAGGGCCUUCUGUCACCACGACAACCACUGGAAUAACAGCAACUACAGGGGAAACUAUCAAAUCAGAGGAAACAACACCUUCAAGACCAACAACGUCACAGGUUGAGACAACAAGGCCACAAGAAGAAGAAACCACCGGCUCAGUGACAUCAGCUACUACAGCGGUUAUUGAAAGAACGACAUCAGUACCAGGUGCCACAACAACAAGCCCAGAAACAUCUGGUGUAACGUCGAAACCUUCUGUCAGCACGACAACCACUGGAAUAACAGCAACUACAGGAGAAGCUACCAAAUCAGAGGAAACAACACCAUCAAGGCCAACAACGUCACAGGUUGAGACAACUAAGCCGCAAAAGGAAGCAACCACUGGCCCAGUGACAUCAGCUACCACAGCAGUUGUUAACACCACAUCUUCAGUACCAGGUGCCACAACAACAAGGCCAGGAACGUCUCAUGUAACAUCACAACCUUCUGUCACCACGGCAACCACUGGAAAAACAGCAACUACAGGUGAAGCUACCAAAUCAGAGGAAACAACACAAUCAAGACCAACAACCUCACAGGUUGAGACAACAAGGCCACAAAAAGAAGCAACCACUGGCCGAGUGACAUCAGCAACCACAGCAGUUAUUGAAAGAACGACAUCAGUACCAGGUGCCACAAGAACAACAAGCCCAGAAACAUUUGGUGUAACGUCACACCCUUCUGUCACCACAACAACCACUGGAAUAACAGCAACUACAGGGGAAGCUACCAAAUCAGAGGAAACAACACCAUCAAGACUGACAACGUUAAAGGUUGAGACAACUAAGCCGCAAAAGGAAACAACAACUGGCCCAGGGACAUCAGCUACCACAGCAGUUAGUGAAAGAACGACAUCAGUACCAGGUGCCACAACAACAACAAGCCCAGGAACAUCUGGUGUCACGUCACAACCUUCUGCCACCAUGACAACAACUGGAAAAACAGCAACUACAGGUGAAGCUACCAAAUCAGAGGAAACAACACCAUCAAGACCAAUAACGUCACAGGUUGAGACAACUAAGCAACAAAAGGAAGCAACCACUGGCCCAGUGACAUCAGCUACCACAGCAGUUGUUAACACCAUAUCCCCAGUACCAGGUGCCACAACAACAAGCCCAGUAACAUCUCAUAUUUCAUCACAACCUUCUGUCACCACGGCAACCACUGGAAUAACGAUAACUACAGGCAAGACUGUUAAACCAGAGGAAACAACUCCAUCAAAAGAAACAACGUCACAGGUUGAGACAACUAGGCCACAAAAAGAAGCAACCACUGGCCCAGUGACAUCAGCUACCACAGCAGUUAUUGAAAGAACGACAUCAGUACCAGCUACCACGGCAGUUGUUAACACCACAUCUUCAGUACCAGGUGCCACAACAACAAGCCCAGGAACAUUUGGAGUAACAUCAGGGUAUUCUGUCACUAUGACAACCACUGGAAUAACAGCAACUACAGGGGAAACUAUCAAAUCAGAGGAAACAACACCAUCAAGACCAACAACGUCACAAGUUGAGACAACAAGGCCACAAAAAGAAGCAACCACUGGCCCAGUGACAUCAGCUACCACAGCAGUUAUUGAAAGAACGACAUCAGUACCAGGUGCCACAAGAACAACAAGCCCAGUAACAUCUCAUGUAUCAUCACAACCUUCUGUCACCACGACAACCACUGGAAUAACAGCAACUACUGGGAAAGCUACCAAAUCAGAGGAAACCACACCAUCAAGACCAACAACUUCAAUAGUUGAGACAACUAAGCCGCAAAAGGAAGCAACCACUGGCCCAUUGACAUCAGCUACCACAGCAGUUGUUAACACCACAUCUUCAGUACCAGGUUCCACAACAACAAGCCCAGGAACAUCUGGUGUAACAUCACAACCUUCUGUCACCACGGCAACCACUGGAAUAUUGCCAACUACAGGCAAGACUGUUAAACCAGAGGAAACAACUCCAUCAAAAGAAACAACGUCACAGGUUGAGACAACAAGGCCACAACAAGAAGCAACCACUGGCCCAGUAACAUCAACUACCACAGCUCUUAUUGAAAGAACUACAUCAGUACCAGGUGCCACAAGAACAACAAGCCCAGGAACAUCUGAUGUAACGUCACAACCUUCUGUCACCACGACAACCACUGGAAUAACAGCAACUACAGGAGAAGCUACCAAAUCAGAGGAAACAACACCAUCAAGACCAACAACGUCACAGGUUGAGACAACAAGGCCACAAAAAGAAGCAACCACUGGCCCAGUGACAUCAGCAACCACAGCAGUUAUUGAAAGAACGACAUCAGUACCAGGUGCCACAACAACAAGCCCAGGAACAUCUCAUGUAACAUCACAACCUUCUGUCACCACGGCAACCACUGGAAUAACGCCAACUACAGGCAAGACUGUUAAACCAGAGGAAACAACUCCAUCAAAAGAAACAACGUCACAGGUUGAGACAACUAGGCCACAAAAAGAAGCAACCACUGGCCCAGUGACAUCAGCUGCCACAGCAGUUAUUGAAACAACGACAUCCGUACCAGGUGCCACAAGAACAACAAGCCCAGGAACAUCUGGUGUGACAUCACAACCCAUUGCCACUACUACAACCACUAGAAUAACACCAACUACAGGAAAAACUACCAAAUUAGAGGAGACAACACCAUCAAGAGAAACAACGUCACAGGUUGAGACAACUAGGCCACAACAAGAAAAAACCACUGGCCCAGUGACAUCAGCUACCACAGCAGUUGUUAAAACCACAUCUUUAGUACCAGGUGCCACAACAACAAGCCCAGGAACAUCUGGUGUAACAUCAGGGCCUUCUGUCACCACGACAACCACCGGAAUAACAGCAACUACAGGGGAAACUAUCAAAUCAGAGGAAACAACACCAUCAAGACCAACAACAUCACAGGUUGAGACAACUAAGCCACAAAAAGAAGCAACCACUGGCUCAGUGACAUCAGCUACCACAGCAGUUGUUAAAACCACAUCUUCAGUACCAGGUGCUACAACAACAAGCCCACAAACAUCUGGUGUAACAUCACAGCCUUCUGUUACCAUGACAACCACUGGAAUAACACCAACUACAGGCAAAACUACAAAAACAGAGGAAACAACACAAUCAAGAGCAACAAAAUCACAGGUUGAGACAACAAGGCCACAAAAAGAAGAAACCACUGGCCCAGUGACAUCAGCUACUACAGCAGUUGUUAAAACCACAACUUCAGUACCAGGUGCCACAACAAGCCCAGGAACAUCUGGUGUAACAUCACAACCUUCUGUCACCACAACAACCACUGGAAUAACACUAACUACUGGCCAAACUGUUAAACCAGAGGAAACAACACAUUUAAGAGCAACAACGUCACAGGUUGAGACAACUAGGCCACAGAAAGAAGCAACCACUGGCCCAGUGACAUCAGCUACUACAGCAGUUGUUAAAACCACAACUUCAGUACCAGGUGCCACAACAAGCCCAGGAACAUCUGGUGUAACAUCACAACCUUCUGUCACCACAACAACCACUGGAAUAACACUAACUACUGGCCAAACUGUUAAACCAGAGGAAACAACACAUUUAAGAGCAACAACGUCACAGGUUGAGACAACUAGGCCACAGAAAGAAGCAACCACUGGCCCAGUGACAUCAGCUACUACAGCAGUUGUUAAAACCACAACUUCAAUACCAGGUGCCACAACAAGCCCAGGAACACCUGGUGUAACAUCACAACCUAUUGUCACUACUACAACCACUAGAAUAACACCACCUACAGGAAAAACUACCAAAUCAGAGGAGACAACACCAUCAAGAGAAACAACGUCACAGGUUAAGACAACAAGGCCACAAAAAGAAGAGACCACUGGCCCAGUGACAUCAGCUACUACAGCAGUUGUUAAAACAACAAGUUCAGUAACAGGUGCCACAACAACAAGCCCAGGAACAUCUGGUGUAACAUCACAACCUUCUGUCACCACAACAACCACUGGAAUAACACUAACUACUGGCCAAACUGUUAAACCAGAGGAAACAACACAUUUAAGAGCAACAACGUCACAGGUUGAGACAACUAGGCCACAGAAAGAAGCCACCACUGGCCCAGUGACAUCAGCUACUACAACAGUUGUUAAAACCACAACUUCAAUACCAGGUGCCACAACAAGCCCAGGAUCAUCUGGUGUAACAUUACAACCUAUUGUCACUACUACAACUACUGGAAUAACACCACCUACAGGAAAAACCACCAAAUCAGAGGAGACAACACCAUCAAGAGAAACAACGUCACAGGUUGAGACAACUAGGCCACAAAAAGAACAAACCACUGGCCCAAUGACGUCAGCUACCACAGCAGUUGUUAAAACCACAUCAUCAGUACCAGGUGCCACAACAACAAGCCCAGGAACAUCUGGUGUAACAUCAGGGCCUUCUGUCACCACGACAACCACCGGAAUAACAGCAACUCCAGGGAAAACUACCAAAUCAGAGGAAACAACACCAUCAAGACCAACAACAUCACAGGUUGAGACAACUAAGCCACAAAAAGAAGCAACCACUGGCUCAGUGACAUCAGCUACCACAGCAGUUGUUAAAACCACAUCUUCAGUACCAGGUGCUACAACAACAAGCCCACAAACAUCUGGUGUAACAUCACAGCCUACUGUUACCAUGACAACCACUGGAAUAACACCAACUACAGGCAAAACUACAAAAACAGAGGAAACAACACAAUCAAGAGCAACAAAAACACAGGUUGAGACAACAAGGCCACAAAAAGAAGAAACCACUGGCCCAGUGACAUCAGCUACUACAGCAGUUGUUAAAACCACAACUUCAGUACCAGGUGCCACAACAAGCCCAGGAACAUCUGGUGUGACAUCACAACCUAUUGCCACUACUACAACCACUGGAAUAACACCAACUACAGGCAAAACUACGAAAUCUGAGGAAACAACACCAUCAAGAGCAACAACGUCACAAGUUGAGACAACUAGGCCACAGAAAGAAGCAACCACUGGCCCAGUGACAUCAGCUACUACAGCAGUUGUUAAAACCACAUUUUCAGUACCAGGUGCCACAACAAGCCCAGGAACAUCUGGUGUGACAUCACAACCUAUUGCCACUACUACAACCCCUGGAAUAACACCAACUACAGGCAAAACUACGAAACCUGAGGAAACAACACCCUCAAGAGCAACAACGUCACAAGUUGAGACAACUAGGCCACAGAAAGAAGCAACCACUGGCCCAGUGACAUCAGCUACUACAGCAGUUGUUAAAACGACAACCUCAGUACCAGGUGCCACAACAACAAGCCCAGGGACAUAUGGUGUAACAUCACAACCUUCUAUCACCACGACAACCACUGGAAUAACUCCAACUAAAGGCAAAAGUACCAAACCAGAGGAAACAACACCAUCAAGACCAACAAUGUCACAGGUUGAGACAACUAGGCCACAAAAAGAACAAACCACUGGCCCAAUGACAUCAGCUACUACAACUGUUGUUAAAACCACAACUUCAGUACCAGGUGCCACAACAACAAGCCCAGGAACAUCUGGUGUAACAUCACAACCUUCUGUCACCACAACAACCACUGAAAUAACACCAGCUACAUAUAAAACUACCCAAUCAGAGGAACCAACACCAUCAAGAGCAACAACGUCACAGAUUGAGACAACUAAGCCACAAAAAGGAGCCACCACUGGCCCAGUGACUUCAGCUACCACAACUGUUAUUGAAACCACAACAUCAGUAACACAUUCCACAAAAAGAAGCCCAGGAACAUCUGGUGUAACAUCACAGCCUUCUGUCACUACGACAACCACUGAAAUAACACCAAUUACAGGAAAAACAACCAAAUCAGACAAAACAACACCAUCUAGAAAAACAACGUCACAAGUUGAGACAACUAAGCCACAAAAAGAAGCCACCACUAGUCCUUCUGUCACUACGACGACCACUGGAAUAACUCUAACUAAAGGGAAAACUACCAAAUCAGAGAAAACAACACCAUCAAGACCAACAACGUCACAGGUUGAGACAACUAGGCCACAAAAAGAAGUCACUACUGGCCCAGUUACAUCAGCUACCACAGCAGUUAUUAAAACGACGUCAGUACCAGCUGCCACAAGAACAACAAGCCACGGAACAUCUUGUGUAACAUCACAACCUUCUGUCACAACGAAAAUCACUGGAAUGACACCAACUACAGGGAAAACUACCAAAUCAGAGAAAACAACACGAUCAAGAGCAACAACGUCACAGCUUGUCACAACAACAAAGCCAAAAACAACAACAACUUCUGAAAUUACUGGACCACAUCAGUCGUCAACUGCAAUUACAAACUCUGCAAUCUUGAACACAACUAUGAAUGUGAUAACUGAAAUUACGUCUAUAGGUACAACUUCUAUUCGUCCAAUAACGCAGACAUUGCCUCCUAGAACGACUGUUUACGGAAUUCAUACUACGACUUUCAAACCAACCAGAAUACCCACACAGUCAGUGUUCACCACAACUACAGCUUCAUGUGAUUGUUCUGUAAAUGGAACAUCAUACCAGCCUGGUACGUGUUUUUUCCCUAUGCUCUUUUGCAUUAAUGAUUUGUUUUGUCUGUCACAUUGA
ensembl:lncRNA